rnacentral:rRNA from 1 species
UACAGAGGGGGCAAGCGUUGUUCGGAAUUACUGGGCGUAAAGGGCGCGUAGGCGGCCUUCUAAGUCGAACGUGAAAUCCCCGGGCUCAACCCGGGAACUGCGUCCGAUACUGGAAGGCUUGAAUCCGGGAGAGGGGUGUGGAAUUCCAGGUGUAGCGGUGAAAUGCGUAGAUAUCUGGAGGAACACCGGUGGCGAAGGCGACAUCCUGGACCGGUAUUGACGCUGAGGCGCGAAAGCCAGGGGAGCAAACGGG